rnacentral:rRNA from 1 species
GACGAACGCUGGCGGCGCGCUUAACACAUGCAAGUCGAACGGAAAGGCCUGCUUUCCCUUGUGGUUUGCGGGUACUCGAGUGGCGAACGGGUGAGUAACUCGUGAGUGAUCUGCCCCCAACUUGGGUAUAAGCCUGGGAAACUGGGUCUAAUUCCCGAUAGGACUGCAGGGUGGUGCCUGUGGUGGAAAACUAUUUUCUAGUGGUUGUGGGUGAGCUCGCGGCCUAUCAGCUUGUUGGUGGGGUAAUGGCCUACCAAGGCGGCGACGGGUAGCCGGCCUGAGAGGGGGGACGGCGACAUUGAGACUGGGUUACGGCCAAGACGGCAAGGGGAGGCAGCAGUGGGGAAGAAAGGACAAUGAGCGGAAGGCUGAUGCAGCGACGCAGCGUGGGAGAUGACGGCAUUCUAGUUGUAAGCUCCUUGCGACCGCGAGGAGGGCACGUGGUUGGAAGGGUGGUGACGGUAGUGGUAGAAGAAGCACCGGCUAACUACGUG